rnacentral:rRNA from 1 species
GAGUUUGAUCGUGGCUCAGAUUGAACGCUGGCGGCAUGCCUUACACACGCAAGUCGAACGCGAAAGCGGGGCAACCCGCAAGUAGAGUGGCGAACGGGUGAGUAAUACAUCGGAACAUAUCCAGUAGCGGGGGAUAACCUGUCGAAAGAUAGGCUAAUACCGCAUACGCCCUACGGGGGAAAGCGGGGGUCGCAAGACCUCGCACUAUUGGAGUGGCCGAUGUCGGAUUAGCUAGUUGGCGGGGUAAAAGCCCACCAAGGCGACGAUCCGUAGCUGGUCUGAGAGGACGACCAGCCACACUGGAACUGAGACACGGUCCAGACUCCUACGGGAGGCAGCAGUGGGGAAUUUUGGACAAUGGGCGCAAGCCUGAUCCAGCCAUGCCGCGUGAGUGAAGAAGGCCUUCGGUUGUAAGC